GAUGAACGCUGGCGGCGUGCCUAAUACAUGCAAGUCGAGCGAACAGACGAGGAGCUUGCUCCUCUGACGUUAGCGGCGGACGGGUGAGUAACACGUGGAUAACCUACCUAUAAGACUGGGAUAACUUCGGGAAACCGGAGCUAAUACCGGAUAAUAUAUUGAACCGCAUGGUUCAAUAGUGAAAGACGGUUUUGCUGUCACUUAUAGAUGGAUCCGCGCCGCAUUAGCUAGUUGGUAAGGUAACGGCUUACCAAGGCAACGAUGCGUAGCCGACCUGAGAGGGUGAUCGGCCACACUGGAACUGAGACACGGUCCAGACUCCUACGGGAGGCAGCAGUAGGGAAUCUUCCGCAAUGGGCGAAAGCCUGACGGAGCAACGCCGCGUGAGUGUUGAAGGUCUUCGGAUCGUAAAACUCUGUUAUUAGGGAAGAACAAAUGUGUAAGUAACUAUGCACGUCUUGACGGUACCUAAUCAGAAAGCCACGGCUAACUACGUG
rnacentral:rRNA from 1 species